rnacentral:rRNA from 1 species
AUGGAUAAAAAGUUUGGAGUGCGCAUUGAAGAGCAAGGAGGUCUUUUGCACAGGGUGAGUUGUUCUUGCCGUAAGCUGGAAUGCGCAGGCGCACCAUGUUCCCAAAUUUUUUACAUAUUGGGGAUUUUAAAACAAACAAUUCUGCCCAGUUGUUGCGUUCCCACUAGGUGGACUAUGAAUGCAAAAUGUGCAUACGCACCUACCAGAAAAAACCAGAUGUAUGACUAUUCAGUAAGCCUGCAGAGGUACCGCGAGUUGCGGAAUUGUAGUCACGCCGCAAGUUUCAAGGCAUGCCACUCUGAUGAGGACUAUCACCGUCUAAUUAUGCUUUUGCAAGCACAACAUCAUGGCAAGCAAUCAAGUUUUGAACAAGCUGAUAGCAAGGAGUCAACUAAUGCUUAG